rnacentral:rRNA from 1 species
UACGGAGGGUGCAAGCGUUAUCCGGAUUUACUGGGUUUAAAGGGUGCGCAGGCGGGUAUGUAAGUCAGUGGUGAAAUCUCCGGGCUUAACCCGGAAACUGCCGUUGAUACUAUAUAUCUUGAAUGCUGUGGAGGUAAGCAGAAUAUGUCAUGUAGCGGUGAAAUGCUUAGAGAUGACAUAGAAUACCUAUUGCGAAGGCAGCUUACUACGCAGAUAUUGACGCUCAUGCACGAAAGCGUGGGGAUCAAACAGG